rnacentral:lncRNA from 1 species
AUGAUUCUGGGGUUCUGUAGACUCUUUCCAGGUCCUUGGUGUCCUGAACAAGGAAUUGGACAAGACACACAAAAAAGCCUUCAGUGGUCAAGACACCCCUUGACUGCCUGUGAGGUCCUAGUUGCUGCGAACUGCAAGCUAGAAUCAGAAGAGGGUGAGACUACUAGAUGCUGUGACUGUCAUGCCGUUUACCCUCUCGUGUCCGUGAAGCCCUUUGGUUGUGACCAGAAGUUGGACUUCCUUUACCUUCCAAAACUGAAAUACCUCUGUAAGUGA